rnacentral:rRNA from 1 species
UCGGGAAUUUUGGGCAAUGGGCGAAAGCCUGACCCAGCAACGCCGCGUGAGGGAUGAAGUAUUUCGGUAUGUAAACCUCGAAAGAAUGGGAAGAAUAAAUGACGGUACCAUUUAUAAGCUCCGGCUAACUACGUGCCAGCAGCCGCGGUAAUACGUAGGGAGCAAGCGUUGUUCGGAUUUACUGGGCGUAAAGGGCGCGUAGGCGGCGCGGUAAGUCACUUGUGAAAUCUCUGAGCUUAACUCAGAACGGCCAAGUGAUACUGCUGUGCUAGAGUGCGGAAGAGGCAACCGGAAUUCUUGGUGUAGCGGUGAAAUGCGUAGAUAUCAGGAGGAACACCUGAGGCGAAGGCGGGUUGCUGGGCCGACACUGACGCUGAUGCGCGAAAGCCAGGGGAGCAAACG